CGACGCCGCGUGGGGGAUGAAGGCCUUCGGGUUGUAAACCCCUUUCAGCAGGGACGAAUUCAGACGGUACCUGCAGAAGAAGCGCCGGCUAACUACGUGC
rnacentral:rRNA from 1 species